rnacentral:miRNA from 1 species
UUGAUUAAGUUUGUAGAAAAAAGUAUUAACAUUUUUAACCCAAGACAAAUAUAUUAUGACAAUAUAUUUAAAUUUACAUAUAAUGAAACUAAUUUGGUGCUAUAAACAUUAAUAUAUUUGUCUACAAGCUUGGUUAA